rnacentral:rRNA from 1 species
UACGGAGGGUGCGAGCGCUGUCCGGAAUCACUGGGCGUAAAGGGCGCGUAGGCGGCCUGAUAAGUAGGGGGUGAAAUCCUGCGGCUUAACCGCAGGGCUGCCUUCUAAACUGUCAGGCUCGAGCACAGUAGAGGCAGGUGGAAUUCCCGGUGUAGUGGUGAAAUGCGUAGAUAUCGGGAGGAACACCAGUGGCGAAGGCGACUUCCUGGCCUGUUCUUGACGCUGAGGCGCGAAAGCUAGGGGAGCAAACGGG